rnacentral:rRNA from 1 species
GUGGGGAAUCUUCCGCAAUGGACGAAAGUCUGACGGAGCAACGCCGCGUGAGUGAUGAAGGUCUUCGGAUUGUAAAGCUCUGUUAAUCGGGACGAAAGAGCCUAGUGUGAAUAAUGCUAGGAAGUGACGGUACCGGAAUAGAAAGCCACGGCUAACUACGUGCCAGCAGCCGCGGUAAUACGUAGGUGGCAAGCGUUGUCCGGAAUUAUUGGGCGUAAAGCGCGCGCAGGCGGAUCUGCCAGUCUGUCUUAAAAGUUCGGGGCUUAACCCCGUGAUGAGAUGGAAACUACAGAUAUAGAGUAUCGGAGAGGAAAGUGGAAUUCCUAGUGUAGCGGUGAAAUGCGUAGAUAUUAGGAGGAACACCAGUGGCGAAGGCGACUUUCUGGACUGUAACUGACGCUGAGGCUCGAAAGCCAGGGGAGCGAACGGGAUUAGAAACCCCAGUAGUCC